ACGAACGCUGGCGGCGUGCUUAACACAUGCAAGUCGAGCGGUAAGGCCCUUUCGGGGGUACGACGAGCGGCGAACGGGUGAGUAACACGUGGGUGACCUCGCCCUCAGCUCUGGGAGUAAGCCUGGGAAACCGGGGUACUAAUACCGGAUAUGACUCCAUGACGCAUGUUGUGGGGUGGGAAAGCCUUGUGCGGCUGAGGAUGGGCCCGCGGCCUAUCAGCUUGUUGGUGGGGUGAUGGCCACCAAGGCGACGACGGGUAGCCGGCCUGAGAGGGCGACCGGCCACACU
rnacentral:rRNA from 1 species